GUAAGUGUUAGCAGCGUAGCACAGGGUGGAGGCCUGCAGAGGGAGGGCCUUGUUCCCAGGGUGGGGACAGGAGGGAGCAGCUCCCCGUGCCUUGGAGGGCUUGGCCCUCUCCUCAGCACUGUGCUGCCACCUCCUCAUGGCAUUCCCUGUCAAGAGCCCCCGUUAGACCAACACCUCAACUUCCCAGAGCAGGGAAAGUCCUCGCAAUUACCAAAGAUGUUUGAUAACACCCAGCGUCAAAGCACAGACUCAUUAUUUGUUUUCUUUUUUGCAGAGUGAACUCUCAGGCUAACUGCUCUUGCUUGGCAUCCAGUGCGAAGGUGUGCAGCCACCUCCACGCAAAGCAUUCAGAGAAAGGAGGCAGGCCCAGGGGCUGAGCUCUGUCAGGAUGAGGAUGAGAUCCACUGUCCAGAGCAGGAAGGAGGAGGGGAAGAGGCAGCCAGGCCCAGCGUGGGACACCUGCCCAGUCUCCCCCUGGGUGGAAAAGAGCCCUGCCAAGGCCUGCCAGGGGCUGCUGCGGACCCCUGCUGAGUGACUGAGGCGGGACUCACCCUUCACGCCCCUGUUCAGCAUCUUGGGUGAAAAACUUGAGAACGUGGCAGGCUGCAGCCGCAGGCCUCAGAACCAGCAGGGCCCAGCAGGAGGAAGCCGGCACCUGGAGGAGCAGGCUUGGCCGGGGAUGAGGGCAAGGGGUGGGACCCCUCCCCAGGAGGGUGGGAGCGGGAACACGCCCCAGGAAUGUGAUGGCAGC
rnacentral:lncRNA from 1 species